GUCUACGGCCAUGCUGCCCUGAACACGCCCAGUCUCAUCUGAUCUCGGAAGCUAAGCAGAGUCAGCCCUGGUUAGUAGUUGUAUGGGAGACCACCUAGGAAGACCGGGUGCUAUAGGCA
rnacentral:rRNA from 1 species